ensembl:lncRNA
CCCGCCGCCGCCGCACGCACGCUCGCUCGCUCGCAGAUGAACCUAUGACUGACUCAUAAUCUGAGAACUGCAGUGGCUUGUAAAAUAGGAAGCAGGAAAGCCUGAGUGCUUAGGCUUUAACUGAAUCAAGACCAGCUCUCAGCAGCAGGAGACAAUAUAUUAAUCCAUUGGAAGUACACACUGCAGUUUCGUGUAUCACUGUGUUUAUGCUGUGAAUUUUUUUCAUGUAAACAGCAUUUUGUGCAGGAUGACAGCUGGGAGUACCCUGCCAAGCUGGGCCCUUGGUGCCAGUCUGCUUAGUGUCAUCGGGGAGCAUCGUUGAGCUGGCACUAUGGAAUAGCUGGUCACGUUUUUCAGACUUUUCUGACACUGUUAGGCUCUGUGGUAGGUGGCCGCAAACUUCAUUGACAAGAGCUGAGAAACUAAGAGUAUUGCAAAAGUGUGGUUUUACUGUGUGUGUUGUAUAUGGUCAAAUGAGUUUUGUA